UUUUUUUUUCUUUGAUAUGGCUAUUAGUAUCUGGUUAGACCACUGUAAGUCACCUAGGGAUCCUAUUUGGAGUGAGCUUGGCUGUGCAGAACAUUUGCUAUUUAUCCUCUUCCACGUUCUCCCAUUAACAUAUUUCUGUUGCAAUUUGCCAUGUAAAAUUUUUGUAUUAUUGCCUUCAGUCACAAGUUUAGCAUGGGGAGUGGAGAGGGAGAAGGAUUUGUGACUAAGCAGGCAUCCUGCUUGCAUUCAGGUGACUCACUUGCUCCAGGCAGGGCUGGAAGCGCUGGGGUCAGCGGGCAGGACGAGGCAGCACACACAGCGGGCGUUGCACCCCUGCCUGGGCCACAUGUUCCUUCUCAAACGUUAUCCCAGCGUGUGCUGGGAUCAUGGGUUGUGUUUUGAAUUGUAAUGGCUCUCGGUUGUCCGCAAUUAGAAGUGUGCCUUUGGUAACACAAGCGUGGGCACCUUGCGGCCCAAGCGCACUGGUUCACGACGUUACCUUUGGAGCUCUCUCCAACACAAAGCAGGAACUGGCUAGGCAACCUACAAAUGUGAUCAUACAGACAGCUAAUGUGGAAUGCUUUGCUACAUACUUAAAUAAGCCCUGCAGAUAAAUCAGAUGCUAUUGAAUGCACUGGUUUACACAAUUAAAAAGCUGAGGAGAUUUUGGGUUAUCUCUCUCUCCAGACGGUAGCAUUGUAUGGCAAUGAGCAGAAGACCCAACUAGAAAUCUUACAAGAUUGCUGUUAAAAUAGGAAAAGAGCAAAACUGCUGUUAAAGUUCUAUUCAAAUUCUACUCCCCACUGUUUUCCAUUAUGUUUGAAAACCUAGCGAUAGUAGCCUAAAAAAAAAAGCAAUUGGCAAUAUUUUGUCAGCUGGGUGUCUCUUACACCUAACUGCAUUAUGCAGAGUGACAAUGGAUCUUCCCAAAGAACCUAAUCAAGGUGGAAGAGAAAAACUGUGUUAAUUCACAAACCCCAUCACUUGAAAAGAGUCAAACAAUUCUGAAUAUUCUUCAGUUGAGUCUAAUUAGAGAGAUAUUACUAGAAGUUGUUUUUCUGCAACAAAGAGCUUUGAUGAUGGUUUUUCUUUUUUGACACUUUGUGUAUUGUGAGCCAUCAUUGCACCCAUUGCUGGGUGCGGAUUAACAACUGUUACUGUUUUUACAGAAAAUGAUGAAUGGUGCCAUUACUAACUCAGCUUCAUGUGAGCAAAAUGAAGUUUGUACUUUUUAACUUUUGUAGUUAUAGCAAUUACAACAAUUACUUUCAAAUUAUGGCUUGAACAGACUCUGCACUAAAGCUAAACAGUAACUGAGAACAACCAUCCUUCAGCUUUCUUAGAGAAGGCUGUAGGCAAAAUCCAAACUGCAAGUUCACUCCAUGCCUUGCUGAGUCAAGGGAAAGUUAUAAUGCAGCCGUCUUAUUUAGCUCUCUCAGCUAGCCAUUUUCAUAACAUUCAUCUCUACCAUAUCAUUUCACACUUUAGUAUAUAACUACAUCUGACUCAAAUACGAAAUGAAUAUUUCUAAAGCUUGAGUCAAAUCUCAAGUGCUUAUCUGGAUUUUUGAAGCCUGACUCAGAUAACUAGAUUAAUAGGCACCAUUUUACUUUGGCUUUAAAUAUAUCUAAUAGCUGUACCAGCCACUAGAAUUCAUCUCACUUGGUGUUCACCAUCAAAAGGUUUGAACUCUGCUCUCAGCUGGUCACCGAAGUUCCCUCUGUAGUCGGUGGAGAUCAAGAGGUGUCACUCCAUCCUAAGGCAGAUGACUGGUAUUAAUGAGAUCAGCUGCCCUUCAGAAGUGCCUGUUUCUUUCCUUGACUAUAGAGGGAGCCAAGGCAACUUGCUUGGAGCAGAAGCCCAACUUUUAGUCAGGACUACACUGAAAGUUGACUAGCUGAGCUCAAGGAAAAUUGCCCUUGUCAGGUAGUCUGCUGCCCGUCAUUUGGGCCAUGUAACUCUCUGUCACACAGAAGCAUAUCUUGCUGGGUAAAAAUCUUCCUCUAUUGAAAUAGAGAUGCCUCUGAAUACAAAUCAUCUGCUUCUUUCAUUGGCAAGCUGCUUUUGUUACAGUGAGAUGUGCAAAGAUCAUAGCUGAUACUUUCUGAAAUGUGGUACUUAAAAAUGUGGUUAAUAAGAGAUCUAGUAAUCUUUUAGAUUAUUAAACCUAUGGCUAAUAACAACAUUAAUGCCAUUUUUCUUAUUUGCUUUCCUGGAGCUAACCAUGAAACUCUACAAUCUUUCUUUGUUUUGUGAUGAGACCAGGAAAAGUAUCUUAGUGAUUUAAUCUAAUAUGAAAUGUUCUCUAAAAUACUUUGCAUAAAAAUGUUCUUACAAAGAAAUCUAUUUUCUAGCAAAAAACAAUUCCCAUAUCAUGUUUCUUGGAACUAAUUUUCCCCAUUCAUACAAACCAACCCUUAUAUCUUCCUGUUGACAGCACUCUGUUUUCUUUUCUUUUCUUUUUUCCUAGUACAUUUGUAGCAUGUGGAUCAAAGGUUUAUGGAUUCUUGUCUUUUCUUGAACCCACAAGCAAAGUAGCGACACAGCCAAGUUUUAAAAGUUUGCAAAUCAUUAAGAAACAAAGCAGACAAAACAUACAAUGUUCCCAAGAGACCUGAGACAUGAAAGCAUCUGUGGUGUGAUCUAUGUACAGAAAAUCUGCUGGGACUAGACUUAAUUGUUCAGUAGGACUUAGAAUGCACUAUGAUUCAGAUCUUAUGUUGUAAGUUUAAGGAAUCAGUCUAUAUAUUUUGCCUCAGAUCCCCCCAAUAUUAUGUCUGUGAUAGAGCUGAACCUGUCCAUUCCUCCAGACUGAACUUCAAAUUUGAGGACACUCUGAUCUCCAUCCAAAUUGUAAGUGUAAUAUAUGUAAUAUAUGUUCUCCUUGAAGGCAAGCUCUGCAGAAUUUUCCCAGUUUUUGGUUUCUUUUCAAACCUGAUAUGAAAAACUAUCCUUAGUUUUUGCCACUGACUUCAAGAUUUCAUCCCCCAACCUUAAAGUCUCGAAAUGACUGGGGAAGAUCCCAAGGCAGAUUGGAAAUUUUUAGGAUUCAGAAGGGGGAGAAUGAGGAUUGCUCAUACUGCCUAAUUUUAAGCAUAUUAAUAAGCUGUUAGCUUAGGAGGCUAUACACCCUCUGCAGAGCUGUGAAGGAGAGACUAUAAGUGCUCUGUAUAGUCUAGAGAGAGCUCAUAGUGCUUGAACUACGCUUGUUUCAAACGGCUCUCCAGAAAAGCCACGCUCUCUUUUUGUUGCCUAUUUUGGGAGGCCGGGAACACCAGCUGUGUGGACACUCCUCCCUGCUACUGGGAAAAUCAGUGACUCUCUGCAGGCCUGAUCCCAAAUGGAGACUAGUGUCAUUAAUGAUGGGCUGAGCUGUAUCUUGAAAAGAUCCUGCCUGCCAGGUUAGCCAGCUAACUGCAUGUGGCUGGCUUCCCAGUGCUGUUAUUUGCUCGUCUACUGAUCUUCACAUCAUCCACAAAUUUAAUCAGUGGUGGUUUUGCAUCUACCUGAAGAUUGCAGGUAAAAGUGCUGCAAUAGCUGAUUACUCCAAAACCCAGAAUUGCUCCCCUUUCAGUGAUGAUUUGUGACUGGCACCUGCUUAUUAUGAACCAGUUAGACAGUUCUUAAAACAUACUUGAGAGCCCAAAAGCUGCUUGCCCCUCUGGUCUCUCUCUGAAUGCCCAGCUGUGCAUUUUGCUGUAUCUGGACCACCAUCGCUGUUCUUGCUGAUCUCCUCAUCCAAGAGUGGAGAGGAGUGUUUUGAUUUGGUUUUAGCACUGAGUUCCUUUGAUAUUUAUCUCUAGUGAUAAAAUUGACUUGUCACCACUAUUGGUAAUGGGUAGAUAGGGAUUCCUGAUCACUAGUUUCUCCACAGAUCUAUGCUGCAAGCUGUUUUCUCACUGUGGUCCCCUGAGGAUACCUUAUCUCCAGCACUGUGUCAUUUCCUGCUCGCUUCACCUGACAUUUAGCCUGACAGCAUAGAGGCAGCCCGAUUAAUAUCAGACAGCAAAUUGGCACGUGCAACACAAGAGAGAGAUUCCCCUCAUUCUCCGCUCUUCCCAUAAACUCCUUUAUUCGGUGCUAAUGCUUUAAUCAGGCAAUAGUGAGGUAUUAAGUCAAAUGCCCUACAAAAUUCCUGUGUCUAUGCUGUUACCUCUACCAAUUUGCUUGGCAAGACUUAUUUUCCCAUAAAGCCAUCUUGACUGGCACCUAUUCUACUGCCAUCCUCUAAAUUUCUGCUAAUUGAAUCUCUUAUCAGCUUUUCCAUUACUUUGCUUGGGACUGAUGCCAGACUAACUGACCUGUAAUUACUAUGAUCAUUCUGCUUCCUCUCUCUGGCUUUUGGCAAUGUUGCAUAUUUCUACUGUUUCUACUAUUUCUAUUCUAACAACCUUUGGAUUUAUAGUACACCAGCUCUCUGAUUUAAAAGUAUUCAUUUCUAAUAAAAGGAUAUUAAUAGUGAUUUGGUAAUGUGAUGCAGGGGAGUCCAUUAUCAUUCUAUGUAGAUAAAUCAUCUUUUUUCUCUUCAAAUACUAAACAAGAGAGAGAGAAAGAGUGUGUGUGUAUAUAACAUAUAUAUUACUGUCUUAUCUACAAUAUUAUUAACAAUGUUGAUUUAGCCAUCCAAUAAUGUGCUCAUACCAUUUUAAGGAAUUGUAGGGGAUUGGGUAUAGUCCUGAUCCACCUUCUUACUUUCUUAGCAAUCUAGCAACAAAUAUUUCCCUGCUAGCCUUCUUUAUGAAGUUUCUACAUUUUUUUAUUGCUAAUUUAUACUGACUGCUGUCUAAUUUGAUACACGUAUCAAUAUGCAGCCAUAUGAUAAUAUGCUACGCAGUGAUAUUGUGUUGUUUUGGUGUUUUUUGCCAAAAAAAGAGACUUGAUCAGAAUCACUGUUUGGAUUUAAUCAAAUGAUCAGAAAAGAUGUCCUGACUUGCAUUUAAUCCAUUCUGAAUUGAAAGGUGGUUACUUUACAACCCAGAGUAUUUAUUCUAAUAUGUUCUAGUAAAGAUCAUAAGAUAUCCUCAACUCCAGGUCAUCUUUGGUUCCUUUUCCAUCGUCCUUUUCUCCUCUAUUUAAACGUUUAGUUGUUUGGAAAUGUUAGGGAUUCUCCCAAACCCAUUCACUUUUCUUUCAAAGGGUCAGUAUAUUUGUAAUUGUGUCACUCCAGGCAGCAUGUCAGUACACACCAGCAGAGCAGACUGAAGUUUUCCAAUGACAGCUGAAGCCUCCUUGCUCAUUUUACCUUUUUUUUGUAUCUCUUCUGUUUACUGUUGCUUCACAAUAGAAUGAAAUUUUAUAAAUACCUGGUAAUUUAGUUAAAAUAAGGAGCUAGACUUUUAACAAGAGAGCAUUUUUUUAAGGUUUGGCACUCAGAUAUCAAACAGAUGUUUAUUGUGCUUUUUAAGUGUCUAGGAGAUCUUGUCAAAAGUGUCUGGCUUGUAGAGUUAUUUUUAUGUUAUAGAGAAGUGUAUAUUAUUCUUUAUUUUCAUGUAUUAACUCAUGUAUAUUAUUUCAUAAAUGAGUUUUGGUUUUGCGUUGUGGAAUAAUACAUUUAGUAAUUGCCUACAGCUCUGCAUAUAAAUAUGCUCUACAAAGGUGUUUGGAUUAAAGAUGUCUGGCUGCAGCUUUAUUAAACAAACUGUUAAUUAAUCUUGAAUAUUAUCUAGCGUGCCAAGGCCUUUCCCUCUGCAGUCAUUGAGGGCCCAUCUAUGGAAUCUCUUCUCCAGUCGCUUGGGCUUUCUUGCUUCUUAUAUGCCAAACCCAUUUCAGUCUUUUCCCUAUACCGAAUGCUAGGCGUAAUAAUGUAGGUGCAGUCAGGGACUAAGGUCUUGAUAUCAAGCUUUGCAUUGCCGAAACAAAUUAUCAAUCUGGACAGGACUAUUGCCAUCAAAAUGUGGAAUGCAGAUCUCACCUUUAAAGUUGCAUCAAAGAAGAAUAAAACAAGAUUGACUUGUUAAUGGCAAUUUUUCUUGAGACUUCAGUCAUUUCCAGUAUUAUUCUUAAAAGAGAACUUUCAUUGUUAAGAAAGCGAAACUCUAGGAAUAGCAGUCCACUAAAUGUUCCCACUAGAUUCUGCACAGUCCACCAAUCCUUGUGACCUUGGCCCAGGUCUUACGCCUGAAUAAGGACUGCCAUAACCAAGAGGGCUUGGUUCUGAAAACCUUUCAAAAGACAGUUUAAAUCUAGGCUAGUGUUUCUGUGUGCCAAUGUCAAUCUUAGUCAGAUUCUGCCCAGGUUUAUGCUAAUGUAAAUCUCAUGCAAGACUGCUGACUUCAAUAAUGUUCUAACCAAGUAAAUAAAAUUCUGAAUAUUGAUUUAUUUUUCUUUAUGCUACUGUUUCAGUUCUCUUUCACCUUAACUGUUUUGUCUUAGUCUAUGUCAUCUCCUUUUGUGUUAGUGAGUUUCCUCUGCAACUUCUUUUUCAGUUUUUGUUUUUCUCUGGCCUUCUCCUCAUUCUUCUAAUAAAUAUAUGUAGUCUUAACCAAAAUAAGGUGGAAAGGUGUUUUUCCUGGGCUUCUUUCUGUGUCUUCUGAUUCCAGAAAAUGCCAGUUAUGGAGCAGUUAAUGGAGCAAAAGGACAAUUAUAAAUGAGCCUAAAUUUAGAGUUUGAGUCAAAGCCUACUGAAGACCAUGAGAGUCUUUCCACCAACUUCAAAAGGCUCUGGAGUAUGCUCAGUCUUACCUUGCUAUUUAACACAACUUUGGGUUAGAGCAGUGUUAACAGCCUAGGGAAACUGCCUUGAAAGUUAAGAUUGCCUUUAUUUUGAAAAGGAAAGUCUGAUGAAUUUUGUCAGACCCAGGAGCUUAAUUAAAACACAGGAAAAUUUCAAAGCGACAGCUACUUUAAGCCUUUUUUUUAAUUUUUUUUUUUGUCUUGGGUGGAUCAAGUAAUGUAAAAGAAAAAGGAGUGACUUCCAUUUCUUGAAGGUUGUUAUUUCAUGCAGAUGCCCAUCCAACCGCCAUUCACAGAGAGCAAAAAAACACUCCUUUGUUGCCCUUGAUCUUCUUACACAGGAGCUAAGUUAUGGAGAUUUGAUCCAUGUUACCCUGUUAUUGCACCACAAACAUGUCUGCCAUCUUUUAAAGAAAAUCUACCUACUUUCGUUACCAUCAUAUUAACCCUGUGAUGACCUUGCAUAUCAGAGCUACAUUCAGGAGUACCUUUCACUGGAACAGAAUGCUAAAUCAGCCUGUAAUUACAGGAUUUUAAACUAAUUUAUUGAAAAAUCAGCCCCACUGUGGAGAUUACAGGCCUAAUCACAUUCGCCUUUCAGCAGGACCCAGCCGCUCACUUGCUGCCCCACACACAAGGCAGAGGUGGAGAUCCCACUGCUGUCAUUGGCUGUCUUGGGCCAAGCCAGCCAGAAUAUUCUGCUUGCAGGAAAUAUCUAUUUCUUUUUCUUAAUUUAGGCUUUGCUGUGCUCCAGAGCGGUAGCCUCUUUUCAGCAUUUCUCAGGAAAUGGACACUGUGAAAAAAACCUGGCUUGAAAGCAAUGACACGUGGUACUGCCAAAACACAGUAUGCUCCUGAGGGUCCAGAAGGUGCUGGGUGAAGUGACAUGAACCAUCCCGGCUGUGCUCUUGCCGACCAUAGACAGCAUUUCACUCCAAAGUGGUACAUCUGUGCGCAUUAUGUAUGUGUGCACAGUAUGCUUUUAAAAAGCUGAGGUACAGUGGGCCUCCUGGGAAACCUGGGACAGUUUUAGCCUCCAGCUACUUCCUACGUCAGCAGUCAGCAUGGGAUAAAGUCCCAUGUGUCUUUGAACUUUGUUGUAAGAUUUGUAUAUAAAUCUUGUGCAUAUAAAUGUAUGUAAAUAUUGUAAGAUUUGUGUACACAAGUAGAAAUAGUACUGGCAUAUAUAUAUAUAUGUAUUUUUUUUUACUAGCACUGAUCUGAAUUUUCAAACAUUUUCUUUAUUUAGAUUCCCUCUUUCUCAUGUACAGAUGUACUACUUUAUUGAAUCAGGAAACCAAAAGCAAAAAUUGAGAAUAUAUUGUUUUCUCAUUUCGGUUUACAGCAUAUGAUAAAAUGUAGGUUUCUUCUCCAGAUAAACUGCAAGAAAAAAUUAGCACUUUGCCAGAAUCCCUAGAGCGCCUGUUAAAUACUUAACAAAAGACUUGUUUUGACAAAGGAAUAUCACCCCUAAUUAUCAAAUCCAUUCCAAACUAAACUGGGAAAAGAUGUGCGGGUAAUAUUUUCAGUCAGCAGUCAGGCUUUUGAAAACUUAAUUGUGGACAGUCAGAGCUAAUGCUGCAUUUUUGUCUUAUCAGUCACAGUUUCAUGGAUUUCAUUAGUUUCAUGGGUUGUUUUCUUUCAAUAGUUUAAGCAUAAUUUUUGACAUGUGGGGAAGAUGGACAUGAUGGGACAGUUUUUGGAAAGAAAAAUGCUGAGUUGAUUUCCUCAUCAUAUGUGCUGGUAUGUGGAGGCCCAGACCGCACAGUCAGCUCAGAAGGAGCUUCAGAAGCUGGCCUACGGCAAUAUACCUUUCCACACCAGGAAGUCCAGGUUGGAAAAGGUUUCUUGAUUUUUUUUUUUUUUUUUUUUGGUGUAGUAUCUGUUGAGAAUGAACUAAGUUCCUCUUCCAUUUCUCACUGUCCCACAUAAAGAAAACUUCUUACAGACUCCUUUGUCUUAAUUCUUUUUCACUUUGUUUUGUAAUCUCUUUGAGGACAGCUCUUGCCCACCCUCUUUUCUUUUUCCAGUACUGUGUUUCUUGGAGGUAUUGUUGUCUUACUUCCUCCAUGGUCUUUAUCCGUUCAGCUAGAAUUAAUGACAUUUGGGUGAGAGAGCAAAGAAAAAGCUAGAUCCUUCCAGUUUAAGGAUCAACUUUGUUGGCUUUGCAGAAGGACCAUCCCUGGAAAUUGUUGAAAUAAAGGGAAGCUGCACACUCAUCUCUGCCCUCAUAUUUUAAAGGCUUCAUUUUCAAACAGGCCUCUGUUUUUAGAGAACAGAAAAACCACAGGCUAUGCUUGUGAAGAAAAUCGUUUCAAAAGCCAUGCCAGAUCCUCAGCUCUUUACUCUGGCCCAGCACCGAGAAGCAAUGCUUAAACUGCCUACACAGGACAUCUGCUGAUCCUGCGGUAUAGGAGAGUCAUCGUGUUGCUUAGCUGCUUCUUGGACAUCUGCUCUUUUUAGCUUUCAGAGAGUGAUGGGACACGGCCAGAAUCUGCAAUAUUUUGAAAGAGAUCUGUCAGCAGAAUAGUCCCUGGAGGACUGCAUCCCUGCUGGUGUAAUUUCAGGCUGGUUCCCUCUUUGCUAGCUCCAAAUCAGCCAGAAAAGACCCUGCACCUCUGCAGACCAGAAAUCAGAGCAGCACUUUAAAGAAGCUUUUCCCAUCUCUGCCCCAAAAGGAGGUUCCUGGGCAGGGGGAGCUGUUCUGAACACUGAUGAUAACCUUUUCCAGGAAAUCUCUUACCCACUAAUAAAGACAAGAAGUGUGUAGAUUUGCACAGUCAGCAUGAAUCAAGAGUUAAAGAUUAAGUGAAGCUGUUGAGAGCAUGAGGCAGUCAGUGUCUCUGCUAUUCCCAGGCCAGAGUCUCUAUGUGACCAGCUGCCAGUGCCUGCUGGGGUGGUGGUGUUUGCUCCGUGUCAGCAAUGCCAAGGCUCCGACUGCCACCAUGAAUCUACCAGCCCUUCAGCCGCUCGAACUGCUCUGCUAUUCUUGGAUUGAGAACAUCAAAGACUUGACUACACUCAGUUAUGUUUUAUUUAUGACAGAACAGACGUGCUUGGGCAUGGUCUUACUGUUCCUACCUGAACAAAGCAGCAGAGUAAAUCAUUGACACAUCUGGCCCAUUGGAAACAGGAAAGCUCAAAGAUAAAUAAGCACUGACUGAGUAUACACUGUAACUUCUAUAUGGACAAGAAGGAUUGGGACUUAUGGAAUGUUAUUAUCUUCUUGACAGAAAACUGAGUUGGUAUGGAGUAAAUUAUUUGACUCUUUUUUCAAUAUUAUAUGUUCCUAUUUUCUUCUAUAUGUAGAAAGCAAAAACAUAAAGCUGCACUUGUAUUCUAGAACUUCAGCAAAGUAGACCUAGGAAAAUCUUUAAGAACAUUGCGUCCAAUGUAUAAGCUAUCCACAAACGGUUUAAAAAUCUUUAGCCCUGUCCUGCACAGAUACAAAUUCCAUGGUUAAACAUUCUUUGGGUCAUUAUUCAGAAGAGAAAGUUAUCCUAGUUAGGUAUCAAGAUAUCUGUCACUGGUUUGGAUUAGUGUAUGUAAGACAUUAAAGUUGCAAGGAAUUUCAGUGUUUGAGUAAAUAUGAAUUCCCCUUCAAGCACCUUAUGCACUGAGGACUAAACUAAGCCCUGGAAAAAGCAGGUGGAAAUCUCAUUGCCUUCAAAAAACAUUUGCAUUGUUUAUAUCAUCACUGAAUGUGGUGCAGUCACUUAACUCAGUUGAUCUAAUCUCCUGAAAUACUCUUUAGAUUUAACUCUGUUCUGCAAAUCUCCAUGAGACAGAUGUUUUAAUAGAGACAUAGACUUCAUAAUUUUAACCACUUUUUAAGGGUACUAGCACCAGUGAUAUGCAUAAUUCAUGAAUUUCACAUUGCAAACUUGUCAAGACAAAUGAACUAUUGCAAGCAUGUAGUUACUUACUGAGUACAUACAAAUCCAGAAAUAUUGUCCACACUUCAUUGCUCAAUGCAAAAAUACUUUUUUCCUAUUGAAAUAGAGAGGCAGCAUUUUAUAAAGUCUAUGUCCCAUCAAGAAGCAAGAGAGUGAAUAAGUGGAUUUCAUUAUUUUGGUCAUAAUGGAGAAUGGUGACACGUUCUGCUUUCCGCAAGUCUUAUUUACUAAAAUCCAUCAACAGUGAUUAGAAUUUUAAUUAGAAAAGCAUCUUAUAAUUUUCUCCAUCACUUUCAUUCUUCAGGACCAAAGGUCCUUUUCCAAGUUACUCACAGUGUAGAUUUUUUAAGCGGUUCAUUUACAAAUCUCAACCACCGAAAAGAAGCAGUCACCUCUGAGAUACAUGAACAGCCUUGGGAAAAAUAGCAGUGAAGGAAUUUUUUCUUUAUGACGCCUUUAAGUUUAUUAAAAAUCUCUUUGUGUCUGCGAUGCCCAUGAAGGGAGCCAAGGUGAUAGCUGUUAUUCUUUGUCUACUGCACAUUUGUCCAUUCCCAUUUAUCUUCUGCAUAGCAUUAGCUGAUACGUGAGGUAAAGUGCCCUUCCAGUACUCUCUGUGUGCUCAACACAUCAGGAAAAACCACCCAUGCUUCAGAAAGAUGCUCCUGGCUGCCACAGCAGCUCAAGGCAGACAAGGGAACAAAAAGGUUUGAAUCAGGCAAAUUAAGAAUGAUCUCUAAGAUAAACAUGUAUUAUUCAGAAACCUUCUUUAAAUUCCAGGAAGUCUGAAGUCCAUACCUCUUGCUUUGUGUUGCCCAAAGCCUGCUCUUUGUCUGCUGUCAGAUUUUCAAUGUACUACUGGGGGUGACUGACUUUUCCAUUUGUUUCCAAGCUCUAGUGCGUAACUAUUUUCUCACUCUUCAGCAGUGCCUGCAGAUGUUUGCCAUGGUUAAGCUUUGGGACUUCUGGCACGAAUUCCACCAGAUUUGAAAGGGAGGAAGAUGGUGACAUUUUCUCUCAGCUUACUCAAGCCACUCUUCUCCUAUUUAUGCCAUGCUGCACUGUCCCUGCCUAGAGUAACAAGAAAAUUUUACUCUUUGCACUUCAUUUUCCGUAGUCUAGAUGAUGCCUUAGUAGACAUCAUUUCUGCUGUUGUUUUUUUCCUUUCAUUUACUGUCUUCCUGUUUAACCAAGGAGGUGGAAGAAGGGAAAAAUAGCUGCCUUCAGUCCUGCUGCUAAGACUGAAGAUGGUUUAUUCAUCUGUAUAGAAUGAGUCACUCAUCACAGUACUUCCAAGAAGCCAGGAGUCUGCCUGACAUGUACCUCAACCCUCCUCACUUGAAUCAUCUGAAUACCCCAGAAGCCCCUCAGAAAUCCCAUUUACGUGUGUUUCAUAUCGCAGCGUAUUCUGAGUGGCUGCUACCAACCAGCUAUUUGCUUUCCUAUGAAAAAUUUGUGUGAAAACAUAAUCCAGAAGUGAAAAUGGCAUGAAAAUGGAAUUAUCUAUCAGACGGAAGGGGGUGAUCACUCCAAGUCAGGUGUGCAAGUUCAGAUCUCCCACUGGUGAUUAAAGACAGCCAAGUUGAGAUAUAGUGCGGUGGCUGAAAGCAGACCUGCAUUUGUGGCUGUCGGUUACUCUCUUCGAUAAGCUUAUCCAUUGGUUUCUUUCCUGUUAACUUUCACAUGUACAAUUAACCCAGGAUGUUAUAUGUUCUCAAAUAGAAAAUGAAAUUACAAAUGAACGAUAUUGCUGGGCUGGAAGGUCUGCUGCUGUGCUGCCCCAGAAUGGCCUCAGAGGUUAGGACUACAGCGGCAGAAGGAGCUCAACACCGGGACCUGCAGGGAGGCCCACCUUUCUGGAUUUAAGCUAAAUUCCUACUCACUUCAUAUCUGUAUUUGAAUGGGUUUUGCUGAGAUUGCGACCUGAGAAUGGAGCUAAGCCUCAUACUUAGGAGAAAUCUGUUAUAAAAGAGCGCAGACAACCACCAUGCUUCCUAUGACAUUGCAUUUGAUAGGGCUGAGGGAGGAGAGGAGAGGGGAGCGUAGGGGCCAUGCGGUCUGUUAGGUCUUAUCCUGGGGAUCCCAAAUGUGGUUUGAUUUGGCGAAGAGAUUGUUAAGACUUUACCAGGGCUGUCCUGGGGAAAGAGCAACAGAGCAAACAAUUAAUAAUACAUGGAGUUGCAGUCUGCCUGCCACCUGUUCAUCUAUAUGUCCAAGACAGAAGUGAGCCAAAGGAAGGAGGAGGGUAGAGCUGUGGAAACAUGUCACCUUUUCAACAAUGUCCUUGCUUCAGUGCAGUCUGCUGUACUGAUUAGAUAUCAUCACUGGGUUUCUCAUGGCAUGAUCUAUUGGCCAGGUAAACUUAGGGCUUAGUUUUGGCCUCUAGUCAGAUGGCAUCCAAAAAUAAAUAUCAGAGGACACCCACCUCUUUUCAAAAAGCCAACCAGAAUAAAACAUAGAUGCAAAAUACAGUUUGGCAAAAAAACCCACUAUUUCAAUCCAAACUGCAGUGGACAAAAAAACAUCAAGAAGUCCAUGUAUGUAUCAAAUUGUUGUCUUCGAGAGCAUGUUAACUCAGCCAGGAUAAGGUGGAAAGAAUGCCACUGGUAGGAGAAUUUCUCUUAUUUCAAAGACUCUUUAUUAUUUCCAUGAUUUUUUUUCACCCAUAGAGAUACACAAAACAAUAAAAAGAAGGAACAUGAAAGCUGCAAGUAUAGUAUGAAAGUCACAGUAUGCAAGAUUUAUCUUGUAGUCACAGUAUUUAUGUUACCCCUUUUAAACUGAUGUUUCCUUGUUUAAAAAUGUACACCUGCACAUUACCACUUGGGGUAAAUAAGUUUAUUAGCCAAGGAAUGUCUGAAUACUUUCUGGAAAUCCCAUAUAAAUGCAGUUAUGUCUUUUCUUAAGAUCCCCCUUUGGUACCAAACGCUAUCCCACUGCCAUACUCCAGGGAAAGAAAAGCAGUAAAUGUACAAACAGUCAGGAAAGAUGCAGGUGAAGAGGUUCCAGGGCUUAAAAACUUUUUGCAUGAUGAUUUGCAUGAUGAUUCACUGCAUCUUUCCAUGUAAAAUUUAAGUAUUCUCUUUCAUAUUACACCUAUGUCAGACCAAAUGCUCCAUGUAGAGACUAGGACUUUAUUAGUGUCUCAUUGGUAUUUGCUUUUACUUUGGAUUAAAACAUAAAGGCAGUGACAGAAGAAAUUCUGAUACUUGGCAUAAGAUUAAUAAUUGAGGGCCAUUCAACUUUGCUAAUCAUCCAUUUAAAGAGAAUUUCCUCAUGGAAAGAGAUUGCUCCACUUAGGAUAAACCAGUUUUUUUUCAUCUCUGAACUCAACAGACCAGAAGGAUGGAAAGAAAGUGAGGGGAGGCAAAGGAGCAAAGGGAGACGAAGCAAGGUGGGACAUUUUGACCAUUUCACCAAGAGUUGUAAGUGAAAAUCUCUCACCACCUUUAAAAAAAAAAGAAAGAAAAAGGAAGGGAAACAGAGCAGUAUGACAGGAGGCAAAAAAAUGAAGCUGGAGCCAAAGUCUCAGAGUAAGGGCUGAUGCCAGGCUCUGAAGGAGAAGCUUUUUGCCAGGAAGCAGAAGAGCAGAAGCAUCUCAGUCUCCUUAAAAGACUAGAUAAACUCAAAGGAUUGUCAAAGGAAGAAAAUAAAUCACAACAAUAAAAUGCAUUCAGGUGACUUCUUAUUUUUCCUUGCUGAAUUACAUUUCUUGUAUUACCUAAAUUAUAGAAUAAUCAUGUCAUGACCAGAGUGAACAGGCCUGGAGCUAUGGAAAAGUUGCUGCCAAAGUUAUGGGCAAUCCAUAAGAGGAGCACUGGCCUUAAAGCCUUUGAGCAGUAGGACUGUGAGACCCCAUUUCUAGAACGGCGAACCUAGGCCUGGCUUUGUGGAUUAGAGGAAGAGGCAGUGCUGAAGCCGACUUGGGUCAAGGUAAGCUUGCAAGAACAGGGAUCCAUCACAGUGGAUAUGAAGACUGUAGCCUGUUCAGGCCCCAUCUGGGGCAGGUCUGUUGGAGCUGUGACUCUGAUUUAAAAUGAGGACAAAAUUAAUGAAUAUAGUAUAUGGGUGUAAUUUUGCUCACUUUGACUGGAACUUCAUUCCAACCCAAUGAAAUGGUAGGACUUCCUGCAGAGUAAGGCACUGUUAAACUGGUACUCUUAUACAUAUACAGCCCACUUUGUUUACACAUUUUAAGUUACAGUGCUUGUAAUCACCCUUUUGGCAGGCCAACAAAUAGAUACACAAAAAAGUGAAUCUGUCUGUACCUAGAUAGUUGCCAGGGAUUCCAAUGAAAUAUAAAUAUAUGGCCUGAACACUGUAAUAUGCAAACACUGUUAUAGGCAGUACAUAUUUAAGCAUGAACGAUAAAUAUAUGAUUUAUUGAAGACAAAAUAAGAGAUUGGAGUACUACUUAAUCUGUAUAAAGAUCAGUUUUUGCUAAACGA